AUGUUGACUGAAAACAGGAAACGUCAGCGCAGCGGUGGUGAUGAGGAGAGUGGCCACCUGGUGCCUCAAGCCAAAAGGCAGAGCAGAGCUCACCCUCUCUCUCCUGAGCCAGGCCGGGAUGCGUGGGACUCCGAGUCAUCCAACAGUGAGAGCAGCAGCAGCAUCAGCAGUCCAGAACAUGCGGCUGGGAGCUGUAGCAGUCAGUGUGUUGUGGGCCCCAGCAGCCCCCUCAGCUCAGGUGACUCAUCAGAACUGGCCGCUGGCCCUACAAGCCUAGUGUCCUACCUGCAGAUCAACCGCAUCCUGAAGCAUGCCCACUUCCAGAGCCUGCAGAGCCGAAGUCCGCUCCGAGACACAUGACGACCCAAUGUCUCUUUUCUGUCGGCCCACAGAGGACUGAGUCCCUGAGGCAUGCCAGAUCACCAAAUGCUGAUUCACUUCACUCAGCUCUUCCAACCCAUCUCCAGUUACUGUAAUAUGUUGCAGCUCUACAUAUCUGUGGGUGGAGACCUGCUCCUGGUCAGGUAUCUGGAGGGGGUUCAUCAUUCAAAUAAAUCAAGUGAUAAUCAUUUUAGCAAUAAUAACUGUGUGAUCAACUUAAACAUUUUGUGUGAUCCACUUAAUUUCGGACCAGUCUGGUUUACAUGCUGCUCUUGGAGCCUUAUUGUGACUGAUUGAUGAUGACGAAUCUCUGUGUUUUGUCUUAAAUGUUGUAUGAAAACAGUGCUACUGGAGCUGCAGAAAUGCCACCAAACAUGAUUUUAGGCCGGUCAGUGUGACUCGUUUAGUCUCCUAGUUGGGUACUUGGGUUGUAUAAUGCUGAAUCUGAUGUCUGUGUAUGUACAUGGACCAGUCUCAGGGAGGAUUUGCACUUGUCUUGGACUGCUCAUUUGCUUUCAUAUUCAGACAGGGACCUGUAGAACCAUGGAUGUUAACUUGACCAAGGAGUUUAUGUCCUUAUUUUCUUAGUUUGUAGAGUAUUUAGGUAUCAGUUAGAUUUAGUGGAGAGUCAUGCCAUGGGUUGAGUGAUUUUGGUUUUAGCGUGGUUUGCAAUUUGUUUUUAAAGGAUUUCAUUACAUUGCAACACUGUUAAUUUUCCAUCAACUACUGCACUUACUUGGCGAAUUUAUCCCAUAUUUACCAAUUAGUACAGAAUGUUUAUUGUUCCUAAUGCAGAUUCAAAUUUUAUAAACCAUUAUUAAAACAGGUGUUGCUUUCUCACAUUUCUUAUGAUUUAGUUCCCCCUGAUCAUUUCAUAGACUGACUACCCUCCGAGGUUACGUUUUCAGUUCGGUCUGUUACUAUGUCAGCAGGUUUACAGAAAAGCUACCGAUUUUUCAUGAAACUUGGUUGAAAUGUGGGCCAAGGAAGAACCCAUUACAUUUUAGACCAGAUUUGUAUAACAGGCCCGAUACACGCAUAAUUUUUCACUUAUGGAAAUGGGAUUGGCGGAGUUCUGCGCUCUCCGAGUGCCCUUGUACUUAUGUCCUGAUCUCAACAUAAGAAUCCCUUGUUUUUCUUGUGAUCGCUACAAAGUUUCCCGAUCAUUAAAUAGUAACGCUGUAGAUUUCGGCAUGGGAAAUCAUCUAUAAUCAAAUUCCACUGCUCAUAUUUGACAUCAGAUAUUUAUAUUUAAUUACAACAUCUGGCAUGUCUUUUCUAAUAAUUUGAAUGUCCGAAUGCAAGUUGAUCAUGGGAACAAAGCUUACUAAAUCGAGAUCAUGAGCGAAUCACAUUUUUAUGAGAUUAGGUUACAUAGAUUAAGCCGUUAAAGUUACUUUUGUUUUCUUGUGAUCAUGGAAAAAUGUAGUGAUCACAACAUUACCAGCUUUGUUUUUCUCAUGGCUACAAAAAGAAAAGAGAAAUAGUUACACCCAUGAACUCCACAACUUUCCAUACUCCUUUUUUUUUUUUUAGCGUUUUCAAUCUUAUUUUGAUUGUAAUAGAGGGCUGUGUGAUGUGGCAUUUGAGCAUGUAGGAAAAUUGUAGUCGUUUCUGUCCGAAGGGGAUCACAGCACAGCCUUUUAGGAACAAAAAGACAUUCCCUAGGCUUUGUUUGCAAUAUUACUGGAGCCACUGAAAUGCUGUUUUUAAUUGCAGACAAGCCUUUCUGCCUGUGCACUAACAUUCAAUGGUUGCUGUAUGUGUGUCCCUGUGCACUGAACAUCCAGGUACAAGCACUGACCGUGAGGCUGUGCGUCUCUCCUUUAUCUUAAAGCGGGAUUGGUUUCAUUGCCGAAGCCUCAUCCCAGGAGUAGGCUUAGCUGUUUUAAUUUCUUUCAGACUGGCGUGUCAGAAAUGAAAGCAUUUUGAAGAUAUGGUUUAUUUUUUUUCAAUUAUAUAUUUUUUGUAUUUAGUAAUGUACAUGACAUUAGCCUGCCAUUGAUUUUUUUUUUUUCUCCCUUGUAAAUACCCCUUCAUUUCCAAAAUAAAAAUUAAUGUUUUUGAACAAAGGCGUUAUUUUCUCUUUUUUUGAUUAAGCUGCAUUUAGCCCUUUUUCAAAAUGAUUGAAUAAAUCUGUUGCAUGGUGAUUCUGGGAGGAUCUGGGUUUAUUCAUACUGUUUCUUAUUGAGAAAAUGCCUAUUAGUGUUGCAUGUGAUGUAC
rnacentral:lncRNA from 1 species